rnacentral:tRNA from 1 species
GGACAGGUGGCCGAGUGGUUUAAGGCAGAGGUCUUGAAAACCUCCGUAGGUGAAAGCCUACCGUGGGUUCGAAUCCCACCCUGUCCG